rnacentral:rRNA from 1 species
GAUGAACGCUGGCGGCGUGCCUAAUACAUGCAAGUCGAGCGAACGGACGAGAAGCUUGCUUUUCUGAUGUUAGCGGCGGACGGGUGAGUCACACGUGUAUAACCUACCUAUAAUACUGGGAUAACUUCGGGAAACCGGAGCUAAUACCGGAUAAUAUUUUGAACCGCAUGGUUCAAAAGUGAAAUACGGUCUUGCUGUCACUUAUAGAUGGAUCCGCGCUGCAUUGGCUAGUUGGUAAGGUAACGGCUUACCAAGGCAACGAUGCAUAGCCGACCUGAUAGGGUGAUCGGCCACACUGGAACUGAGACACGGUCCAGAGUCCUACGGGAGGCAGCAGUAGGGAAUCUUCCGCAAUGGGCGAAAACCUGACGGAGCAACGCCGCGUGAGUGAUGAAGGUCUUCCGAUCGUAAAACUGUGUUAUUAGGGAAGAACAUAUGUGUAAGUAAAUGUGCACAUCUUGACGGUACCUAAUCAGAAAGCCACGGCUAACUACGUG